AUGGCUAUUUUUAAGGCAUGCAAAGAAGCUAUCUGGUUGAGAGGUUUGUAUGCCGACCUUUGUGAAGAUUCAUCUUGCCUAACCAUAUUUUCUAACAUUCAAAGUGUAAUAUGUCUUACAAAGAAUCCAAUGUGUCAUGAUAGAACAAAGCACAUUAAUGUCCGAUUUCAGUACAUUCGAAAUAUUAUUGCUGAAGGCGAUUUGAAGAUAAGAAAGAUAAGUACUCAUGAUAAUCCUGCAGAUAUGAUGAUAAAGCCAGUUCCUACCAAUAAGUUAGAGCUUUGCUCAAGCUUAGUUGGUAUUUGUCACUAG
rnacentral:rRNA from 1 species